ACGCUCGACACCUACGGGGGCAGCAGUGGGGAAUAUUGCACAAUGGGGGAAACCCUGAUGCAGCGACGCCGCGUGAAGGAAGAAGUAUUUCGGUAUGUAAACUUCUAUCAGCAGGGGAGAAAAUGACGGUACCUGACUAAGAAGCCCCGGCUAACUACGUGCCAGCAGCCGCGGUAAUCUGAGCGGGCUGGCAAGGC
rnacentral:rRNA from 1 species